UACUGGUCCAUCACUAUUCUAGUAUUCGCUAAUCCCCAAGUUAUCGUCUUAGCACGCUAAACACAGUACUACCAGUAGUUCCCAAAAUAAUAAAAGAAAAAGAAAAUAGCAACAAUUCUUCUCUCUUUGUACAAUUCUUCAUCUGACUUUUUCUCUGCAAUUUCUCCCAUCUUUUUUGCUCUUCUCCCAAACUCAUCAUAUCGACAUUAUUACCAUAAUUAAUUAUUAAAAAAAACGCCAUCAUCACAGUAAUAAUUCUCCAAAAUAUCGGUUUCUGUUUAUAUUAAUCAAUUUGCGUAACAACACAGUAAGUGUGAGUGAGUGAGUGAAGAUGGGUUGCAACCAAUCAAAGAUCGAAAACGAAGAAGCAGUUGCACGCUGCAAAGAACGAAAGCGUUUCAUGAAAGAGGCCGUUUCCACCCGUAACGCCUUCGCCGCCGCUCACUCCGCCUACACCACCUCCCUCAAAAACACCGGCGCUGCCCUCGGUGAUUUCGCACACGGCGAAGUUCAGAAUCCUCAAUUCACAACCACCACCGCCGAUAAUUCCUACAUAGCAACGCUGCCUCAAAAACCCUUCGAGAUCCCUCUCCCUCCGCCUCCUCUACCAGAUUUCUCUCCUCUUCAACGAUCCACCAGCAUGCCCGAAAUCAGCAAAAUUAAGCCCGAUCCCAGGCCCAAGCCCAUGCCUAAGCCCAUUCUCGAGGAAGAUGAAGAAGAGAGAGAGCUAGAGAAUGAAGGUUCUUUGAGAAAAAGAAGAACAAACAGAAACACAGGUGGUGUUGGUGGGGGUGUGAAUAGUAAUAGAAGGUUGGAGGAUGAAGAACAAGCUCCACCACCUAUGCCACCUCCUCCGGCGAAACAACCACCACCGGAGAAUGAUCCUGUCAGUAAUCACCAUCACCAUUCUAUGUCGAAUCCGCAGCAAAGUUCUGCUUGGGAGUAUUUUUUUCCACCCAUGGAGAACGUUGCAGGGACGAGUUUGAAUGAGGAAGCUGAAGAAGAAGAUACACUCAAUAAGAUGAAGAAUAUUGCAAGGCCUAAUAGGGUUGGUGUUGUGGAAGAAGUUGUUGCAACUCAAAGGGUUGUUGAUGUUGAGGUUCCCUUGCCUAAGCAUGAUCUUGAUCAUGAGCAUGAGCCUAUCCCUGAGCAUGAGGAAAUGGUGGAGUCGCCCAUGACAUCACCGUCAUCGGGUAUUAAGGUGAACCAGAUGCCGGUUACGCCUCCCCCUAUGGAGGCAAAGAGGAUUGUGAAGCACAAUAAUGUUAAUUUGUUGCAGAUAUUUGCUGAUCUUGAUGACCAUUUUCUUAAGGCUUCUGAGAGUGCUCAUGAGGUUUCAAAGUUGCUUGAGGCUACACGAUUGCACUAUCACUCCAAUUUUGCUGACAAUAGAGGACACAUUGAUCACUCUGCAAGGGUCAUGCGAGUUAUCACUUGGAAUAGAUCCUUUAAAGGAAUACCUAAUUUGGAUGAUGGGAAGGAUGAUUAUGACUCAGACGAGCAUGAAACUCAUGCUACCAUCUUGGACAAGUUGUUAGCUUGGGAAAAGAAACUUUAUGAUGAAGUUAAGGCUGGUGAACUAAUGAAAUUUGAGUACCAAAGAAAAGUUGCCACACUAAACAAGCUGAAGAAGAGAGGUAAUAACUCUGAAGCAUUGGAGAAAGCAAAAGCAGUUGUCAGUCAUUUGCAUACAAGAUAUAUUGUAGAUAUGCAAUCAUUGGAUUCAACAGUCUCAGAGAUUAACCGAUUACGUGAUGAACAAUUGCAUCCAAGACUUGUUCAGCUUGUUGAUGAGAUGGCCACUAUGUGGAAAAAAAUGCUAUCUCACCAUGAGAAGCAAUCGGAGACUGUGACAUUGCUGAAAUCGUUGGACCCUUCCCAAUCUCCUAAGCAGACAAGUGAACACCAUCACGAGCGAACAUAUCAGCUAUUGGUUGUUGUGCAACAGUGGCAUUCACAAUUUGAGAAACUAGUCAACAAUCAAAAGGGAUACAUAAAGUCCCUAAACAAUUGGUUAAAAUUAAAUCUUAUCCCUAUUGAGAGCAAUUUGAAGGAGAAAGUCUCUUCACCUCCAAGAGUUAGAAGUCCACCUGUACAAGGUCUUCUCCAUGCAUGGCAUGACCGUCUAGAGAAACUUCCCGAUGAACUUGCUAGGACAGCUAUAGGAAACUUUGCUGCGGUAUUAGAUACUAUUUUCAAUCAGCAAGAUGAAGAGAUGAUUAAGAAGAGAAAAUGUGAAGAUUCUCGAAAGGAGCUUGCCCGCAAAACUAGGCAAUUUGAUGAUUGGUAUCACAAGUAUAUGCAAAGGAAAACACCGGAGGAGUUUGAUCCAGAUAAGGCAGAAGAUCCUAAUGCUCCCGAUGAAGUUGUCACCGAGAAGCAGAUUUUGGUUGAACAAGUGAGGAAGAGGUUGGAAGCGGAGGAAGCAGACUAUGAAAAGCAAUGCCUCCAAGUGAGGCAAAAAACUUUGGGAAGUCUAAAAAAUCGCAUGCCAGAGCUCUUCAGGGCUAUGUGUGAUUUUUCUCUUGAAUGUUCUAAAAUGUACAUCGAAUUAUGCUCGAUAGCGCAGCACCUAGGGCAGAACUCAUCCUGAGGGCAUGAAAAUUGAAUGGAUUGAUGACGCCCUUGUUCUAAAUUGUACAUGUUCCAUAUCAUAAGCUCUGUGCCGGGCUUUUGACCUUCGUUAUGCUUAUAGCUGGGAAAUUUUGAUUUUGUCCAAUUACUUUGUUCAUCUACCUCCUCAAGUAAUCUUUGUGGUCAUAUGGAGGGAGCAAGACACCCUUUUCCACCCCUCUUGACUCUAGUAUUGAGGUGGAGUUUAAAGAAAAUAUUCACCAGCAAAGAGAACAUAAUUUAGUGCAAUCUCAUUCUUCGCCGCCAAUUAUUAUGGCCUGGAGACAUCUUCAUCAGCCAUGCUCAUUAUUUUACUGGGGCAGUUUGAAGAUAUCCAUGCUAGAAUGAUUGUCAAGGAUUUCAGUAUAGAAAGUAAAUUUUGAUUGAUGAAAUCAAAUGAAAGUAAACUUGGUUAUGAAA